rnacentral:sRNA from 1 species
CUUGCUGCUAUCCCUUGCUGCUAAGCUAUUUCUUGCUGUCAAUUUAUCUACCACUGCUAUUCCUUGCUGCUAAGCUAUCCCUCACUGCUAAGCUAUCCCUUGCUGCUAAGCUAUCCAUCGCUGCUAAGCUAUCCCUCACUGCUAAGCUAUCCCUUGCUGCUAAGCUAUCCCUCGCUGCUAAGCUAUCCCUCACUGCUAAGCUAUCCCUUGCUGCUAAGCUAUCCAUCGCUGCUAAGCUAUCCCUCACUGCUAAGCUAUCCCUUGCUGCUAAGCUAUCCAUCGCUGCUAAGCUAUCGCUCGCUGCUAAUCUAUCCCUCACUGCUAAGCUAUUUCUUGCUGCUAAGCUAUCGCUUGCUGCUAAUCUAUCCCUUGCUGCUAAGCUAUCCCUUGCUGCUAAGCUAUCCCUCACUGCUAAGCUAUUCCUUGCUGCUAAGCCAUCCCUCACUGCUAAGCUAUCUCUCACUGUCAAUUUAUCUAUCACUGCUAAUCUAUCUAUCACUGCUGUCAAUUUAUCUACCACUGUCAAUCUAUCUAUCACUGCUAAUCUAUUGCUGCUAAUCUAUCACUGUCAGUCAAUCUACUGCAGUGAAUCUAUCUAUCACUAUCAUUACUGAUUCAAAAUAGAACU